AAAAAAACCAACAACAACCCAGAGAUCAUUUAGAAAUCAUUUCAAUACGUGCAUAUUCAAAUACUUGGUUUAUACAAAACCUAUUAGAAACUUGUGUUGUCUUGGCUGUUUAUUGUUUAAAGUUCUAGGGUAAGUACAUCCUGUUACAAUGUCACUCUUGGUUUAUUCUCUGAUGUUCAGCAUGUGAAAGUAAACAGCAUUUAAAAUGAGUUGAGCCCGUAUCUUAGUGCUGUUGCUGAUGACAUACCUUUCAGCUGCCCUUUCACCGAGAAAAGCCUGGAGCUGGUGUAACUUCAUUAGGCUUCUGCUGUUUGAGGUGGGACUGGCUAUUGUUAACAAGCUAUGGAUAUGGCUCUGAAGUGCGUGCGUGUGUGCACGUGUGUGUGUGUUUGCGUGGGCUCAGAGAGACAGGGCCAGCCUUUUGUUUUAUUGUCAUCACCAUUAAGCGGGAGAGCCAGCUGCAGCACAGCUGUGAUGGCUAAAGCACCAGCUACAGGAGCCCCCCCCAUUGGAAAUAACAGGGGAGCAACAGGCAGCAGACGGCAUCAUGGGACUGCCUCAAUAACCAUGCACAGAUCAGUGCUGGAUUUUUGCAUCUGUUCCACAUCUACUCCUGAAGGAUGGUGCAGUUUCAGUGGUGUGUUUGGGAAGAUUCAGGUUCACAACCGGGAGGUGCUCCACUUCAAGCAGGUUCACCGCGUUUCGAGCCGGGUGCCUGUGCCGACGAUGCUUGCUUUGAUCUCUCUGUCUCUCUCUGAGCUCAAAACACACAUCCACAACCUCAUCACCACAGCGAAACACUUGAAGUGGGGGUGGGGCACUGCUGUGUGACCUCUCACUUAUGCAAACAUUUCAGGACUACAUUACUGUGGAAAAAAUAGCAAAGCAGUGAAAUAAUCUGUUAUUUGUAACAAUAUUUCCAAAUAACUUUAAUCUGCUUUAAAUUUACAACUAAAACCUGCUGCAAUUUUUUUAUUAUGCACUGUGUAAUAUAUUAUUUAAUUUUUGCAUCUUUUUUUUAAUGUAUCUUUUAUUCAUGUUUAAUUUUAUUUCUUUAAUUUCA